rnacentral:rRNA from 1 species
CAGCAGCCACGGUAAAACGUAGGUGGCAAGCGUUGUCCGGAAUUAUUGGGCGUAAAGGGCUCGCAGGCGGUUUCUUAAGUCUGAUGUGAAAGCCCCCGGCUCAACCGGGGAGGGUCAUUGGAAACUGGGAAACUUGAGUGCAGAAGAGGAGAGUGGAAUUCCACGUGUAGCGGUGAAAUGCGUAGAGAUGUGGAGGAACACCAGUGGCGAAGGCGACUCUCUGGUCCGUAACUGACGCUGAGGAGCGAAAGCGUGGGGAGCGAACAGGAUUAGAUACCCGAGUAGUCCCUGUCUCUUAUAU